rnacentral:rRNA from 1 species
CUUACUGAUCCUAACCAAACUCCGAAUACCCGGGAGUACUAGAUGGCAGACACACUGCGGAUGCUAACGUCCGUAGUGGAGAGGGAAACAACCCUGACCUACGACUAAGGCCCCCAAUUCAUGGCUAAGUGGGAAAGCAGGUGGGACGACCAAAACAACCAGGAGGUUGGCUUAGAAGCAGCCAUCCUUUAAAGAUAGCGUAACAGCUCACUGGUCUAAAUAAGUUGUCCUGCGGCGAAGAUGUAACGGGGCUCAAGCCAUGAGCCGAAGUCUAGGGAUGCGUAAGCAUCGGUAGCAGAGCGUAGUGUGACAUAGUCUCAUUCCUCCUUCAUGCCUUCGGGCAGAUUGGAGGAGAGAGGCUUUCGAUGAAGCCGGGGCGUGAGCCAUCCGGUGGAGAGAUCACUAGUGAGAAUGAUGACAUGAGUAGCGACAAAGAGUGUGAGAGACACUCUCGCCGAAAGUCCAAGGGUUCCUGCUUAAAGCUAAUCUGAGCAGGGUAAGCCGGCCCCUAAGCCGAGGCCGAAAGGCGUAGGCGAUGGGAACUAGGUUAAUAUUCCUAGGCCAGGAGGAUGUGACGGAUCACAGGUGUAGUUCAAUCUUAUCGGAUUGAUUGGGCUGCUGAGUGGUUCCUGGAAAUAGCCCUCCAUCAGACCGUACCCUAAACCGACACAGGUGGACUGGUAGAGCAUACCAAGGCGCUUGAGAGAACGAUGUUGAAGGAACUCGGCAAAAUACCUCCGUAAGUUCGCGAGAAGGAGGCCCGGUUCCUAGGCAACUAGGGGCUGGGGGCACAAACCAGGGGGUGGCGACUGUUUAUUAAAAACACAGGGCUCUGCGAAGUCGCAAGACGACGUAUAGGGUCUGACGCCUGCCCGGUG